UGGACCCGCAAAGAGCCGCGUGCGGCUCGCGAGCCUCACUUUGGCCACUCCUGAGAUAAUAUCCAUGUCGGGCAAGGUGUGCACGUCAACCAGGAAUGCGGGCAACAUGCGGAGAGCAGAGUGCGACUCCAUGUUUUGCAAGAUCACUGCUGCUUCCAUAGGGCUGCUUUUGACUACACCUGAGGGAGAAAGGUACCACCAGGCUG